UACGAAGGGGGCGAGCGUUGUUCGGAAUUACUGGGCGUAAAGGGCGCGUAGGCGGCCGAUCAAGUCAGAUGUGAAAGUCCUGGGCUUAACCUGGGGACUGCAUUUGAUACUGAUUGCUUGAAUGCAGGAGAGGAUAGCGGAAUUCCCAGUGUAGAGGUGAAAUUCGUAGAUAUUGGGGAAGAACACCGGUGGCGAAGGCGGCUAUCUGGACUGUGAUUGACGC
rnacentral:rRNA from 1 species